UACGGGGGGGGCAAGCGUUGUUCGGAAUUACUGGGCGUAAAGGGCUCGUAGGCGGCGAACUAAGUCCGAUGUGAAAUCCCCAGGCUUAACCUGGGAACUGCAUCCGAUACUGGAUGGCUUGAGUCCGGGAGAGGGAUGCAGAAUUCCAGGUGUAGCGGUGAAAUGCGUAGAUAUCUGGAGGAAUACCGGUGGCGAAGGCGGCAUCCUGGACCGGCAUUGACGCUGAGGAGCGAAAGCUAGGGGAGCAAACGGG
rnacentral:rRNA from 1 species